CCUGACUGACCGAUAGUGAACCAGUACCGUGAGGGAAAGGCGAAAAGAACCCCGGCGAGGGGAGUGAAAAAGAACCUGAAACCGUGUACGUACAAGCAGUAGGAGCCCACUAGUUGGGUGACUGCGUACCUUUUGUAUAAUGGGUCAGCGACUUAUAUUCUGUAGCAAGGUUAACCGUAUAGGGGAGCCGCAGGGAAACCGAGUCUUAACUGGGCGUUAAGUUGCAGGGUAUAGACCCGAAACCCGGUGAUCUAGCCAUGGGCAGGUUGAAGGUUGGGUAACACUAACUGGAGGACCGAACCGACUAAUGUUGAAAAAUUAGCGGAUGACUUGUGGCUGGGGGUGAAAGGCCAAUCAAACCGGGAGAUAGCUGGUUCUCCCCGAAAGCUAUUUAGGUAGCGCCUCGUGAACUCAUCUUCGGGGGUAGAGCACUGUUUCGGCUAGGGGGUCAUCCCGACUUACCAACCCGAUGCAAACUACGAAUACCGAAGAAUGUUAUCACGGGAGACACACGGCGGGUGCUAACGUCCGUCGUGAAGAGGGAAACAACCCAGACCGCCAGCUAAGGUCCCAAAGUCAUGGUUAAGUGGGAAACGAUGUGGGAAGGCCCAGACAGCCAGGAUGUUGGCUUAGAAGCAGCCAUCAUUUAAAGAAAGCGUAAUAGCUCACUGGUCGAGUCGGCCUGCGCGGAAGAUGUAACGGGGCUAAACCAUGCACCGAAGCUGCGGCAGCGAC
rnacentral:rRNA from 1 species